rnacentral:rRNA from 1 species
UGGGGAAUAUUGGACAAUGGGCGAAAGCCUGAUCCAGCCAUGCCGCGUGUGUGAAGAAGGUCUUCGGAUUGUAAAGCACUUUAAGUUGGGAGGAAGGGCAGUAAGCGAAUACCUUGCUGUUUUGACGUUACCGACAGAAUAAGCACCGGCUAACUCUGUGCCAGCAGCCGCGGUAAUACAGAGGGUGCAAGCGUUAAUCGGAAUUACUGGGCGUAAAGCGCGCGUAGGUGGUUCGUUAAGUUGAAUGUGAAAGCCCCGGGCUCAACCUGGGAACUGCAUCCAAAACUGGCGAGCUAGAGUAGGGCAGAGGGUGGUGGAAUUUCCUGUGUAGCGGAGAAAUGCGUAGAUAUAGGAAGGAACACCAGUGGCGAAGGCGACCACCUGGGCUCAUACUGACGCUGAGGUACGAAAGCAUGGGGAGCAAACAGG